UCGGGGCUCGUCCAACCGCAGGACGUCUGAUUUUGGCUCAGGAGAUCGGGGUUCGAAUCCUUGCCCCGAGCCA
rnacentral:tRNA from 1 species